AUGCGGCUUCUCCCCGUGCGUCUGCGUCCGCGUCUCUGUUUCAUGAGGAUUCAGGACCGCUCUGCCCCAGCGGGACCUCAGUUUCGCCAACGACAUCUGCCAAGACCCUGUUUCCAAGGAAGCUCCCAUUCGCAGGUUGAGGGGUUGGGACAGGAACCGUUCUCGGAGGAGACAGUGCAGCCCACAGUACUGGGGCAGGACGACCCAAACCGUCCUGGGACAGAGUCCCUGGGCACAGUGGCUGCGGCUGAGGACUGCUUACCCUUCCGUGGCAUGGCCAGGGCAGGUGGUGCCGACGAAGGCCACGGUCAGAUCCUGCGAGCGCUGCUCUGCGUCCGAGACCCCACUGGCAGAGAGCUGAGACAAUGUGGGAGCAGGGGUGGGGCGGGGAGCCGGAGACCCUGAAGCGACUUCACUUCCACCUGCUUUCACACUGGGAUCUUCUGGAGGUUUUUUGGGGGGAGAUUUGCUCAAAAAAAUUUUUUUAAACAACCCAAGCUCAAUAUCACCCAUUCACAACACCAACCAUGCAGUUCACAGAUGACCUGGGACAACUACUGGCCUGAGGGAGGUGGCAGGGCCUGGGUCUCGUAGGGAGCACACGACACAGAGGAACAGGCCACCUCCCCAAGGACACGGGGCUGCGGCACAGGGCAGGGCUGAGUCUCCCUCUCCCCGAGGACCGCUACCGCUCACUUACGCCGUGACUGGUCAGCGUCCACCGCGGCUCCGACAGCCCUCGCGACGCUCCCAGCCCAGUGCACCCCGCCUCGCAGUGCCAGCGGGACCCAGACCCCGGUCCCUAAUGAGCGAAGCUCGCAGAGGCGAGCUCAGGCGCACCGGCUUCCAGGGCGCGCCCGGCCUAGCCUCUCCUCCGCGGGAAGCCGGCUGCCCUGAGCGGCCCACAGGCGGUCUGCCAGCAGUCGCCGGCCCGGCUCGCGCUUGGAAAGACCCCCGUCCCCCCCCGCCAAGAUAGAGCCCUUGGCGGAGACUGCGGCCUCCUGAGUCGGUGUGGCGGGCCCAGCUCGGGGGUGCCCGCGGUCCUGACCACCCAAACCGCGAGGGAAUCCGUGUCCGCGGCCUGAAGCUGCGCGGGGCGCCUGUCCCGCAGCCACGGCUGACCACUACCGGGGCCGUGGCCGGCGACGUGCGGCCGGAUCCGGUCAGCCACGUGCCUGGCACGCUGCAGCGGGACGGUGGCCGGCGCCACUUCCAGAGGGCACGAACCACCACCGCCUCCCCCCUGCCUCCCCAGGGGCAGCCGCGGCCGCCGCCCCCCGACCUGACGCCUGGGCGGACGCCACGCUUCCGGAGGGACCUCCCCUGCCACCGCGCCACAGCUCCGAGGGCCGGCAACACCCUAGGAGCCUUCCCGCCGUCCUGGUCGGCCCCCGGGGAGCCCGAGCCGAGGGCGCUGGACGGACCGCGGGCGGCGUCGGUCCAGGUAGGGGUGAGGAGCGGCCUCGGACGUCCGCCCCGCCGCUCUGCGCCCGUCCCCUCCGGGACCCGGCAGCAUAACGGGUGCCGGCCGGGGACAGCGGGGCCGCGGGGCACGUGCUCACCAGUAUUUGGCCAGCUCGCGGUAGCGCGGGCCCAGGAACCGGCUCAGCAUUGCCGCACCGUCCGCCGCUCAGGGUGACCCCGACUNNNNNNNNNNNNNNNNNNNNNNNNNNNNNNNNNNNNNNNNNNNNNNNNNNNNNN
rnacentral:lncRNA from 1 species